GACGAACGCUGGCGGCGUGCUUAACACAUGCAAGUCGAACGGAAAGGCCCUGCUUUUGUGGGGUGCUCGAGUGGCGAACGGGUGAGUAACACGUGAGUAACCUGCCCUUGACUUUGGGAUAACUUCGGGAAACUGGGGCUAAUACCGGAUAGGAGCUCCUGCUGCAUGGUGGGGGUUGGAAAGUUUCGGCGGUUGGGGAUGGACUCGCGGCUUAUCAGCUUGUUGGUGGGGUAGUGGCUUACCAAGGCUUUGACGGGUAGCCGGCCUGAGAGGGUGACCGGCCACAUUGGGACUGAGAUACGGCCCAGACUCCUACGGGAGGCAGCAGUGGGGAAUAUUGCACAAUGGGCGGAAGCCUGUUGCAGCAACGCCGCGUGCGGGAUGACGGCCUUCGGGUUGUAAACCGCUUUCGCCUGUGACGAAGCGUGAGUGACGGUAAUGGGUAAAGAAGCACCGGCUAACUACGUG
rnacentral:rRNA from 1 species